GCAUGGCAGAAUUCUGUAUUACUCAUGAAGUGGUAAAUGCAGUCAGACACCAUGCUAAAUUAUUAUUUUCACAUUCUGACUCAACUACAGGAUAAGAGCACCAGUGAUGUGCCUCGUCCUUUAGUCAGAAUGGAAACAUGU